CGGGUNCGGGUUGUGAGAGCAAGAGCCCGNAGAUGGAUUNUGAGACNCGAAUCCAGGCCNUACGGGGNCAGCAGGCGCGAAAACUUUACAAUGCGGAAACCGUGAUAAGGGAAUCUCGAGUGCCAGCAUAUAAUGUUGGCUGUCCAGAUGCCUAAAAAGCAUCUGUUAGCAAGGGCCGGGCAAGACCGGUGCCAGCCGCCGCGGUAACACCGGCGGCCCGAGUGGUAACCGCUUUUAUUGGGUCUAAAGGGUCUGUAGCCGGCCAGGUAAGUCCCUUGGGAAAUCUGGCAGCUCAACUGUCAGGCUGCUAGGGGAUACUGUUUGGCUUGGGACCGGGAGAGGUGAGAGGUACCUUGGGGGUAGGGGUGAAAUCUUGUGAUCCUCGGGGGACCACCAGUGGCGAAGGCGUCUCACCAGAACGGGUCCGACGGUAAGG
rnacentral:rRNA from 1 species